CUACGGGAUGCAGCAGUGAGGAAUAUUAGACAAUGGGCGCAAGCCUGAUCUAGCCAUGCCGCGUGAGUGAAGAAGGCUCUAGGGUUGUAAAGCUCUUUCAGAUGCGAAGAUAAUGACGGUAACAUCAGAAGAAGCUCCGGCUAAAUUCGUGCCAGCAGCCGCGGUAAUACGAAUGGAGCAAGCGUUGUUCGGAACCACUGGGCUUAAGGCGUGCGUAGGCGGACUUACAAGUCAGGAGUGAAAUCCCGGGGCUCAACCCCGGAACUGCUCUUGAAACUGUAAGUCUAGAAUCCGGGAGGGGUUAGGAGAAUUCCAAGUGUAGAGGUGAAAUUCGCAGAUAUUUGGAGGAAUACCAGUGGCGUAGGCGCCUAACUGGACCGGUAUUGACGCUGAGGUACGAAAGCGUGGGGAUCAAACAGGAUUAGAUACCCCGGUAGUC
rnacentral:rRNA from 1 species